rnacentral:rRNA from 1 species
AUACGGAGGAUGCGAGCGUUAUCCGGAUUUAUUGGGUUUAAAGGGUGCGUAGGCUGUGCGUUAAGUCAGGGGUGAAAUGCCGUCGCUCAACGACGGAGCUGCCCUUGAUACUGGCGUGCUGGAGUACGGAUGCCGUUGGAGGAAUGAGUGGUGUAGCGGUGAAAUGCUUAGAUAUCACUCAGAACACCGAUUGCGAAGGCAUCUGACGAAUCCGUCACUGACGCUGAGGCACGAAAGCGUGGGGAUAGAACAGAAUUAGAUACCCUGGUAUUCCACGCCGUAAACGAUGAUGACUAACCGUCGGCGAUAGACAGCCGGUGGCCAAGCGAAAGCGAUAAGUCAUCCACCUGGGGAGUACGUCGGCAACGAUGAAACUCAAAUGAAUUGACGGGG